rnacentral:rRNA from 1 species
AUUGAACGCUGGCGGCAGGCCUAACACAUGCAAGUCGAACGAGAGGCGGACGGGUGAGCAAUGGCUGGGAAACUGCCUGAUGGAGGGGGCUAACUACUGGAACCGGUAGCUAAUACCGCAUACCAUCAGAUGUGCCCAGGUGGGAUUAGCUUGUUGGUGGGGUAACGGCUCACACAGGCGACGAUCCCGAGCUGGUCUGAGAGGAUGACCAGCCACACUGGAACCGAGACACGGUCCAGACUCCUACGGGAGGCAGCAGUGGGGAAGAUUGCACAAUGGGCGCAAGCCUGAUGCAGCCAUGCCGCGUGUGUGAAGAAGGCCGUCGGGUUGUAAAGUACUUUCAGCGGGGAGGCGUUACCCGCAGAAGAAGCACCGGCUAACUCCGUGCCAGCAGCCGCGGUAAUAC